CGUGUUUUGAAUCUUCUCUUCUUUCUUAGUAUCCAUAUUUUCUAGAAUCAUGCGUUGUAGUUUCCCAAAGUGCUCUUUCUCCCUCUCUUACAUCUUCUUCUUCCUGGCUUCUGAUUGUUUUUCCUGAAAUUUUUCCUCUGCCCUUUUCGAAUUCCAUAUAUUCCGUAUUCUAUUUGCCGCGUAGAAGAUAUAGAAAUUUCUGAUGGCUAUUCUAGAACUACCUGUUCUUUAGCUCUUUUCUUAAUUGAUUCUACUUAUGCAUGUCUAAAUUUCUUGGUUCUCUUCAGAUUGUGUCAAAGAAAGUUCUCUGAGAGGUCGUGACGUUUUAGUGAUUAGAGCAGUCUGUAAUGAGAAACUCAAGUAGGAGAAUCGAGAACAUUUUGCAGAGACAACCACAACCUAUUAGUUGGCGGCAGAUGAAUAAGAGUAUUCUGUGACACUGCAUGCAAGAAAGCUCACAUUAGGACUGAUGGAUCUUGGAUCAAGUUUCCCAAGCAAAACCGGGAUAUUGCUUAAGUUAUGGUGAUUGCUAAAUUUGAGCCUGAUUUUUUUUAUUUAGCUAGGUACUAAAGCAAGUUAGAAGAUGAGCACUCCUUUUCUGCCAAAUUAUAUGAGAAAUAAAUAAUGUAUGUACAUAUGCAUCUAUUGUACUGGCUGGAGGAGAUGCGGAGUUAUAUUUGACUUGCUGAAUCAGUGUUGUACUUUAUUUUGUUUUGCUUUACAACCAACUUUAGAAGUUUUGCUCUACCAA